CGGGGGGAGCAAGCGUUGUUCGGAUUUACUGGGCGUAAAGGGCGCGUAGGCGGCCACCGCAAGUCGGUUGUGAAAUCUCCGGGCUUAACCUGGAAAGGUCAAUCGAUACUGCGGGGCUAGAGUGCAGAAGGGGCAACUGGAAUUCUCGGUGUAGCGGUGAAAUGCGUAGAUAUCGAGAGGAACACCUGCGGCGAAGGCGGGUUGCUGGGCUGACACUGACGCUGAAGCGCGAAAGCUAGGGGAGCGAACGGGAUUAGAUACCCCGGUAGUCCUAGCCUUAAACGAUGAAUGCUUGGUGUCUGGGGUUUUAUAGUCCCCGGGUGCCGUCGCUAACGCUUUAAGCAUUCCGCCUGGGGAGUACGGUCGCAAGACUG
rnacentral:rRNA from 1 species